ACUACCGCGGGAGGCCGGCUGGCGAAUGGGGCUUCGCCACAUCUGCGAGAGAAGCCAGCUUCCGGAUGGCCAUCUUGGGCGUAGAACGCUUGCUGGAGGCUUUGCCGUAACUAUGAAAGACCUUUGUUCUUAGAGUUGAAGGAAGGAAAAUAUCCCCCGAGUGGAGCUCACGACGGCCGCGCGUGUGUUCCCGGGCAUGGUGGAGCCCGGGACAAGCCCUCGGAGCCUUCUCCUGCGCUCCAUAGCCCGGCAGCGUCGCGCCCUGUUGGAGGUUUAGCCCGCCUUCCUUUGUCGUCCGGGAGGCCGGAGCGGGAGGCGCGCCCCCCACCCCCGCCCCCGCCCUAACUGAAGAGUCCCGAGCCCACUUGUUAGCGAGCUGUACGCCAAGUCCGCCUACCCUGGAGACCCUGCCGACCCAGGUGCUCUGCGCCCUCCCGCGAGAAAGGCCAAGAAAAAGCCACUACCAAGAUCCAGGGCUCAGGAGACCCCAUGAGCACCGCUGGGCCCACCCUGGCCCGGCAGAGAAAAGGGACGUUGUGCUCCCCAGGGUGAUUUGGGGAAGAGGAAGUUGGUGACCCCACCCAGAUGGCAAAGGAGCACUGUCACUCCUCCGGCUGCGCCCCAGUCCUGGCCUCUGAGAACUGCAUUAAUCUACUCCUGGGAGUUUCCAGCCUCCCAGGGCCCAGAAUGUGGCACCCAUCCCCACACACUGUUCUUUCCCCGCCCACUGAAUUCUAGUGCCUCCUGAGUAUCCCUCUGAGAUGUUUUAAGCACCGUCAGCCCGGCAGAUACAGGAGGAAGAGAAUUUUUAGGGCUGCCAUGGAAGUGCUGUGGCUGUCAUGGUGUGACUUGAGCUGAGAGGCAGCGAUGGGUCUCCGUUGCAGCAGGCGGGAUCUUCACUGCUGCAUGUGGGAUCUGGUUCCCGGACCAGGGAUCGAACUUGGGGCCCCUUGCAUUGGGAGCGCAGAGUUCUACCCAGUGGACCACCAGGGAAGCUGCUGGACGCACUUGUCUUUACAGCCCUGUCCUUCCUUUUCACUGUGCAGCUGACCUUUC